rnacentral:rRNA from 1 species
UACAGAGGUCCCAAGCGUUGUUCGGAUUCAUUGGGCGUAAAGGGUGUGUAGGUGGCGCGCUAAGUCGGGUGUGAAAUUUCGGAGCUUAACUCCGAAACUGCAUUCGAUACUGGCGUGCUUGAGGACUGGAGAGGAGACUGGAAUUCAUGGUGUAGCAGUGAAAAUGCGUAGAGAUCAUGAGGAAGACCAGUGGUGAAGGCGGGUCUCUGGACAGUUCCUGACACUGAGACACGAAGGCCAGGGGAGCAAACGGG